rnacentral:rRNA from 1 species
GAUGAACGCUAGCUACAGGCUUAACACAUGCAAGUCGAGGGGCAGCAUCAUCAAAGCUUGCUUUGAUGGAUGGCGACCGGCGCACGGGUGAGUAACACGUAUCCAACCUGCCGACAACACUGGGAUAGCCUUUCGAAAGAAAGAUUAAUACCGGAUGGCAUAGUUUUCCCGCAUGGGAUAAUUAUUAAAGAAUUUCGGUUGUCGAUGGGGAUGCGUUCCAUUAGGCAGUUGGCGGGGUAACGGCCCACCAAACCAACGAUGGAUAGGGGUUCUGAGAGGAAGGUCCCCCACAUUGGAACUGAGACACGGUCCAAACUCCUACGGGAGGCAGCAGUGAGGAAUAUUGGUCAAUGGACGAGAGUCUGAACCAGCCAAGUAGCGUGAAGGAUGACUGCCCUAUGGGUUGUAAACUUCUUUUAUACGGGAAUAAAGUGAGCCACGUGUGGCUUUUUGUAUGUACCGUAUGAAUAAGGAUCGGCUAACUCCGUGCCAGCAGCCGCGGUAAUACGGAGGAUCCGAGCGUUAUCCGGAUUUAUUGGGUUUAAAGGGAGCGUAGGCGGGUUGUUAAGUCAGUUGUGAAAGUUUGCGGCUCAACCGUAAAAUUGCAGUUGAUACUGGCGACCUUGAGUGCAACAGAGGUAGGCGGAAUUCGUGGUGUAGCGGUGAAAUGCUUAGAUAUCACGAAGAACUCCGAUUGCGAAGGCAGCUUACUGGACUGUAACUGACGCUGAUGCUCGAAAGUGUGGGUAUCAAACAGGAUUAGAUACCCUGGUAGUCCACACAGUAAACGAUGAAUACUCGCUGUUGGCGAUAUACGGUCAGCGGCCAAGCGAAAGCAUUAAGUAUUCCACCUGGGGAGUACGCCGGCAACGGUGAAACUCAAAGGAAUUGACGGGGGCCCGCACAAGCGGAGGAACAUGUGGUUUAAUUCGAUGAUACGCGAGGAACCUUACCCGGGCUUAAAUUGCAACUGACGGAACCGGAAACGGUUCUUUCUUCGGACAGUUGUGAAGGUGCUGCAUGGUUGUCGUCAGCUCGUGCCGUGAGGUGUCGGCUUAAGUGCCAUAACGAGCGCAACCCUUACGGGUAGUUACCAUCAGGUUAUGCUGGGGACUCUACCCGGACUGCCGUCGUAAGAUGUGAGGAAGGUGGGGAUGACGUCAAAUCAGCACGGCCCUUACGUCCGGGGCUACACACGUGUUACAAUGGGGGGUACAGAAGGCAGCUACACGGCGACGUGGUGCUAAUCCCAAAAGCCUCUCUCAGUUCGGAUUGGAGUCUGCAACCCGACUCCAUGAAGCUGGAUUCGCUAGUAAUCGCGCAUCAGCCACGGCGCGGUGAAUACGUUCCCGGGCCUUGUACACACCGCCCGUCAAGCCAUGAAAGCCGGGGGUACCUGAAGUACGUAACCGCGAGGAGCGUCCUAGGGUAAAACUGGUGAUUGGGG